rnacentral:lncRNA from 1 species
AUGUUCUUUGCUUUUGUUGUAGUGUCGGACAACGCUGAUUUGAUUCAAGGGAACACAGCUGAUGUAACCAGAAAAGAAGAUUUUAGAGAGAGUGCGAUUCUUGCUGUGUCANGCUUUGAUUUUGUUGUAGUGUUGGACAACGCUGAUUUGAUUCAAGGGAACAAAACUGCUGUAGUCAUAGAAGAAUGUUUUAAAGAGAAUGUGAUUCUUGCUGCGUCAUCUAUAGCUCUUGUGAUGUUCUUUGUACUUCUGGCUUCUAUUUGUGUGUUUUUUACAAAACGCAGGAUGAAAAAAGGGAAUUUUCGUCGUACCUUUAGACGCUCACGUGAACAGCAGAAAUCGGCAAAGGGUGGGACGAAAGCAGACGGCUCACACAAGAAACCCUCAGACUCAGAAACUGCACCUCUUAUUGACUGAAUUGAUGAGCUAUUCACUGAUGCUGCAUCAAAUCCCAGUAGAACCUCCUUGGCUGAAGACUCAGAUUAAAAGUGAAAUUAAAUAUAAUCUCGUUGCCAGCCACUGACAAGCUUUAAGAGAUGGCUUAUGAGCAACUAUGAUGUUGGUGCUCAGUUGACUUAGAGAGCUCUCUUAGUUUCUUGUAGCAUCAGAAUAGUGUGUCUUUAUUGUGUUUCACAUACAUCUUAUAUACCAUUCACUUACAAGCGAGACAUUCCUGAUCCUCUAACAGUUCCUCUAAUCAGUUAAUUGGUCCCAGCUUCUCUCAAACAACAGUGAUGAAGGAUGAAAGGUUUCUUAAGAGUAACAGGAUUAACAAUGCAUAUCAAUGGAACCUUCUGUCUACCCUUAGAUGCGAACAGACACUGCUUGCUCUUGUCUCUCACUCUGGUCUUCCAGGGCUUCAAAGUGAUAAAGUCUACCAAAGAAUCUGAUAAGCUCUUUGGUGACUUGCUCACAGUUACAUCUACCCCCACACUAUGAUUCUGGAAAUAGUGCUUGUGAUUCACUGAGUGUGUAAUUCAGUAUUCCCUGGAAUAAACUUCAUGUUCUAAUAGGAGGACUGUGUCUC